GGACCACAAAGCCAAAUACAAAUAAAUGAACAUAAUAAUCUGGAAAUAAAAACACAUUACUAUGCUGGCCCAUCAACACUAUGAGCCAGGUUUAUUCACCACAAACGCAUUCCAAAUAUAUACGACAUAGUUGCACUACAGUCCUCACUUUCUCCCAUAUUUAUAGACCAUUACCUCACCUCCCCUUUGAUGACUAGUUGGCGACCGACACCAUCACCGCUCUGGGAGGCUUCCCAGCCCUUCUUGCAUGCUGGCACAGGAGAUUAUUGACGAUGACAAUGUCCCCCUUCUCCCAGUUCAAGUCGACGCAGUUCUCCGCCAAGAUGUUGGUGUAUGUCUCCAGUACUUCAGGUGGGAUCGGAGUGCCGUCUCCGUAGGUGGCGUUGAGAGGCAUUUGCUCGGUGACAUAGCCGAUGAUCGUGUUGAACAUCACCCUCUUACCGUCGAUCUCUCUGAUAGGGAAGGUGGGGCCAUAGUGGAUCUCUGCGCUCCCAUCGGCUUCAUUGUACUUGAAGGCAUUGCAGUAGUGGAGCUUUUCUAUCGCUUCCUUCUCUGCCUCCACGGGGUCAUCGACUCCGACGAGGCGCUGCCAGGUGUCCUUCUGGCGAACAUGGAAGAACCUGAUCCCCUCACGCUCUAGCUUCUCGACCACAUCGGGCAUCAACUCCUCCAUUCUCUGCACCACCACAUCGCUUCUGAUGAUUGCCGUCUGCCCUCCUUCGGGGGAAGGUGUCUCACAGAAGAUUAUCAACUUUUUUGGGUACACUUUUAUCAAGGCCAUCUCAUGAUGGAAGCCGAUGUUGAACUCGAGCGGCGCCUCGUUGGCGGUGAAAACCCUAGGGGCCGGCCUCUUGCGCACCACUGCCCCCCUGUAGGUGAACUCCUCCCACCCAGUGGCCUCGACGACCCUCGAGAAGUCGUCGGCGCUGGAGAGGCCGAACCCACGCAGGAUGAUGGCCCCGUUCUUCUUCAUUAUCUCCGUCAACAGCUCUUGCUCCUGCUGCACUAUUUUCACUAGAUCGUCGACGGUGGGGUUCUCGAGGGUCUCCGGCGGGAGUAGCGUCUUGGGGAAGACGAGCCCAUCGAACACCUUCUCCUCCGGGAUG
rnacentral:misc_RNA from 1 species